AAUUUCAAAUAGACAAAUUAUUUUGUAAAUUAAAAACUAGAAAGUCAAGAAAAAAUUGGAACCAAAAAUUUAGCAUUGAAUAUAUAAAAGACGCUACACCAUGGAAACACGAAAAGUUAAUUUUAACAAAGUGCAAUGAAAUAUCUAAACUAAACGGAAUCGUUAUAUAUGGAAUGAAGAAUCCCGUAUGUCAUAUUCGGCCAAUAUACGACAAAAUUUGGAAAAUAUGGUCAGAGUCCAGGAACAAGUACAAUCACAAGAGAUCAACAUCAUACAAUGCAAAUUAAGGAGUUAUGUAGAAUCACAAACGUUAAACAAAACGUGAAGCAUUAUUGACAAUUAUAUAUGGGAUAGGAAUCUAAAGGAAUCUUGGAACUUGGAAAAUACUCACGAUUUUCGCAUGGAAUAUACAUCCAAAUGUCAAAUAUAUGUAAGAAUUCAAGGCAGGGCAGUGGUGUCAAAGAGCGCGCAGAAUACACAAAAACAACAACAAAUUGGAAGAAUAAACAAGCAUUAGUUAAAUUUAUAUUAUAACAACAAGGACAACAUUUUGCAACGAUACCCGUGAAGUUGAUGAAACCAUAUCAUUAUUGAGAACCUCCAGAAAAAAAGGAGGUGUACGUUUUUUGAAAAGGGAAACAUUCACAGUGGUUUGAAAGUAUUGCAUUGGAAAUGUUUCUAAUGCGGUUGACUCUGACAAAAGAAAAUUUAUAUCGAUUCUACGCAAUUUCUAUGAAAUACUAUAUAAGCAAUCCACAAAAUAUUUUAUUCAAAAUUCAACUAGUAAAUAAGGGACAUGCGUCGCGCGAAGCCGAAUUUAUCAUACCCUACACAAUCAUGCAUAUUUAGUAGAGCUAUCUGUUACAAAUAUACGCUUACAUGUAUCACGAAUUUAUGUGCAGUAAAUAUCACCAGAACGUUAGAGCGUUUUAAAUAUGACAUCAAA